rnacentral:rRNA from 1 species
UACGGGGGGGGCAAGCGUUGUUCGGAAUUACUGGGCGUAAAGGGCUCGUAGGCGGCCAACUAAGUCAGACGUGAAAUCCCUCGGCUUAACCGGGGAACUGCGUCUGAUACUGGAUGGCUUGAGUAUGGGAGAGGAUGAGGGAAUUCCUGGUGUAGCGGUGAAAUGCGUAGAUAUCAGGAGGAACACCGGUGGCGAAAGCGCUCAUCUGGCCCAAUACUGACGCUGAAGCACGAAAGCUAGGGGAGCAAACGGG